AUCCCCUGUAGUCCAUAGCAUAAUGAUUGAGUUUCUACCUCAAGUGUGAGAAUAUUUCAAACUUUGUUACAAUGUCAGCAUGUUACCCAUCUGACA
ensembl:snoRNA